GCUGGGUGUGGUGGUGCAUGCCUGUAAUCCCAGCUACUUGGGAGGCUGAGGCAGGAGAAUCGCUUGAACCCAGGAUGUGGAGGUUGCAGUGAAUUGAGAUUGUGCCAUUGAACUCCAGCCUAGGUGACAGAGUGAGAUUCUGUCUCAA
ensembl:misc_RNA Metazoa_SRP Metazoan signal recognition particle RNA